rnacentral:rRNA from 1 species
UUGAAAAUAAGUAGGGAAGCACGUGAGCUGACUGUCAAGAAAAGCCGCUAUUGUUUGCAGGAUACCCGUACCGUAAACCGACACAGGUGGAUGAGGAGAGAAUCCUAAGGCCGACGGGAGAAGCAUUGUUAAGGAACUCGGCAAAAUGACUCCGUAACUUCGGGAGAAGGAGUGCCAGUAAGAUGGCCGCAGAGAAUUGGCCCAAGCAACUGUUUAGCAAAAACACAGGUCUAUGCAAAACCGAAAGGUGAGGUAUAUGGGCUGACGCCUGCCCGGUGCUGGAAGGUUAAGGGGAGAGGUUAGCGCAAGCGAAGCUUUGAACUUAAGCCCCAGUAAACGGCGGCCGUAACGAUAACGGUCCUAAGGUAGCGAAAUUCCUUGUCGGGUAAGUUCCGACCCGCACGAAAGGCGUAAUGAUUUGGGCACUGUCUCAACAAUGCACCCGGUGAAAUUGAAAUACCAGUGAAGAUGCUGGUUACCUGCGCCAGGACGGAAAGACCCCAUGGAGCUUUACUCCAGCUUGAUACUGGGAUUCGGUAUUGCAUGUACAGGAUAGGUGGGAGGCUAGGAAAUGGUAACGCCAGUUGCCAUGGAGCCAAUGUUGGGAUACCACCCUUGCAGUACUGGGUUUCUAACCAGCAGCCGUGAUUCGGCUGGGGGACAAUGUCAGGUGGGGAGUUUGACUGGGGCGGUCGCCUCCGAAAGGGUAUCGGAGGCGCUCAAAGGUUCCCUCAGAAUGGUUGGAAACCAUUCGAAGAGUGCAAAGGCAGAAGGGAGCUUGACUGCGACACCGACAGGUGGAGCAGGUACGAAAGUAGGACUUAGUGAUCCGGUGGUAUAAAGUGGGAUUGCCAUCGCUCAACGGAUAAAAGCUACCCUGGGAUAACAGGCUUAUCACUCCCAAGAGUUCACAUCGACGGAGUGGUUUGGCACCUCGAUGUCGGCUCAUCGCAUCCUGGGGCUGAAGUAGGUCCCAAGGGUUGGGCUGUUCGCCCAUUAAAGCGGUACGCGAGCUGGGUUCAGAACGUCGUGAGACAGUUCGGUCCCUAUCCGGCGUGGGCGUAAGAUAUUUGAGAGGAGCUGUCCUUAGUACGAGAGGACCGGGAUGGACUGGCCGCUGGUGUAUCUGUUGUCUUACCAAAGGCAUAGCAGAGUAGCCAAGCCGGGAAGGGAUAAACGCUGAAGGCAUCUAAGCGUGAAGCCCCCCUCAAGAUGAGAUAUCUCAUAACGUCAAGUUAGUAAGACCCCUUGAAGACGACGAGGUAGAUAAGGCAGAGGUGGAAGUGUGGUAACACAUGGAGCUGACUGUUACUAAUAGGUCGAGGGCAUAACC